GACGAACGCUGGCGGCGCGCUUAACACAUGCAAGUCGAGCGAAACGGUGGCCGGGUGAGUAACACGUGAGUAACCUGCCUUAGACAUUGGGAUAGCCUCGGGAAACCGGGAGUAAUACCAAAUGGUCUACGCUGGACUCGCGUCCCAUUAGCUAGUUGGUGGGUAACGGCCCAACAAGGCGACGAUGGGUAGCCGGCCGGAGAGGCUGAACGGCCACAUUGGGAGUGAGAAACGGUCCAACCGCUACGUGAGGCAGCAGUGGGGAAUAUUCAACAAUGGAUGGAACUCUGAUGCAGCGACGCCGCGUGAACGAAGAAGGCUUUCGAGUCGUAAAGUUCUUUUAUAUGGGAAGCGGUACCAUAAGAAAAAGCCCCGGCUGACUACGGGCCAGCAGCCGCGGUAAUAC
rnacentral:rRNA from 1 species